rnacentral:lncRNA from 1 species
CUAUGCUCAUCCGACAUAUUACUAUGCAAACCAAAUUCCUGCAACAGAAGUUAUCGACAACAACGAGGCAUAUCAACGCUACAAGGGGAGGGUUUAUCUCGAUUAUCCUAAGGGGAAACCAGUUCCGUUUUAAAGACCUAGUGAUUAAUCACUUAGCUUUCUUGUAUGCAUAACCUCCUCUAGUUGUGUUACCUUUAGUCCUGUACGAUAUUCUCCCUCUGCUAAACGUAGACGAGGAGAGGUUGCUAGAACUCGAGUCCGGAGCUUCUUCUUGCUUCAUCAAAUAAAAUUUCUGUGAUUUAUAUAUUAUAAUUUUCUAUUUGGCUGGUCAAGUAUGCAUUGUCAUAAAUAUCACUCUGCUUCCCUGAUUAUUACCUUAUUCACCUAUUACUUAGCAUGAAAUAUUGAAAGAUUAAUGCAGUCGGAAGCACAACAAUAUAGCUGCAAGCAUAGAAAGACAAAAGAUAAACUGAAAUAAUGUUAAAACACUGAGAAUCCUAAAACCUUAUUUCUAAAUUAUUAAUUUGAUUAAGUUUACCUUCUAAAGAGGUUUACAAUCUCUUUCAUAGACUAGAAAAAUAGGCCAAGAUUCGAAACAAAAUCAGAAUCCCAAAACAUAACGGAAAAUAACAUAAAAUUUAAAAAUAAACAAUAAAUCUGCGAAAAUUAAGGAAAAUAACAAAAUUAUCCCAAAUAAUAACUAAUUAGCCUACUUUAUGGAGAUACAAUGCUCUGAUAACUAUUGAGUGGUUUUUAAUGGGAAAACGGUUUGUAGAAUCUUCUAUAAAAAUUUAAACCUGAUUUAACGGUUAGAAUAUCUCCUGUUAUCAUUAUUUUAGGCUAUUAUUCUAGUCUUGCGAGAUCAUGCUUUCUCUUGGCCUAAACAUCUUUCACUAGUACAUGAACAUAUCUGUUAGUAGUCCGUUUAGGGCAAACAAAUAAUUAAUUUGCUGUUCAAAUGCUUUGAAGCUCUUCAAGGUGUGAUUUCACUGAAUAAUUUCGAGUUUAGAAUUAUCACCUCAUUUUAGAAUUGUCCCGAGCACAAGGAUAAAAUGAUGAGCCAUGGGAAGCGUCUCCGAUAAAGAAAUAAUAAACGGAGUUCAAGGUAAAACAAUAGCUUAGAAAAAAAAAGAGUAGAAAUUUACACGAUAUCUAAGAAUAUCAGCGAUCAUGACCAUGAUUGGAUCAUUUCUGAGUUCUACAACCAAAAUUUCCUUCACAUCUCUUUAACUAAGCUGAUAGUCCAUGAAGAUUUAAGGAAAAACAUGAUUCCCAAUCCGAGCCAUAUGAGCAAGUGUAUCUAGUAAAAAUAUCUUAUCUCCCAUGAAAAUGAUAUUAGUAAGCCUCCCUCUGAAGCAUUGCUUUACACAUAUCUUUUACAGAAAAAAGAGAAAAAUGGGAAAUGCUCCGAGUUAUACCUUUUCUUGAUCUUUCCCAAUCCUUCAUUAUAAAUGGGACCCAUCAAAAACAUGAGAUGUGCUUUAACUUCCUCCAUAUUUCAUCUUAGCCUAGAAGGAUAAACAAGAAUAUUAUUGCUUCUGAAACAUAACGAUUGCAAGCAUCGCCUUUCGGUGAACUUUAGAUGACAUGAAACUGCCACAAAUUGGGUCCUAUCCGAGAGAGUUUUCUUUUUCUGCUCUGUUAUCACACAUAUACAACUGAAAUCUUUAAGUCCUCUUUAGGGUAUCCCUGAAAGAAAAUGAUCUAUCAUGCAUGGAAAGUCCUGAGGAAUCUGAGGCAUCACUACAUGAAAUUCAACCAACGGAAUUGCCGACAAACUGUUUCUUUCGGUAUUUUGCGGUGAUAUUUACCGACCGAAUUACUUCCCUUGCUAAGACCGUCGGUAUAUACCGACAGAAACAUUCCGUCGGUAUAUAUCGAGUGAAUCCCAGAUAGAAUAUAAAGAAUUUUAAAAAACAAAGCAGUGCAAUGACGUGGAAGUUUUUGUGGAUGAUGUUACUGACAGAAUUACAGAGUGAUUCAAACUGGGAUGUUCGUACAGUGACGUGUUUACUUCACCGACAGAAUGGCCGAUGGAUUUACAAACAGAAAUAUUAUGUCGGUAAUUCCAUCGGUAAUAGUUAAUAUAUUGAAUGUUUUUUUAGUGUUUACUUGUUUUAUUAUUUUUCUCAAACAAACUUGUAGUAUGGAUUUAUAAUUUUGUACUUGGUAUGGUUUGUUUUAGAUUUUGUAAAAUUAUAUUUGUUUGUAAAUUGUUGAAAUUUAUGUCGAAUUACCGACUUAGGUGUGUUGUGAUGAAAUAAAUAAUGACUUGUUUGAUGGGUCCGUUUUAAUUUUUGUCAAUUUUAUUGCCAAGUUGUAAUUUCUGUAAAUUAAUGUGUAUAAAUUUGUAUGGACGUAGAUAAUUGAUAAUGAAUUUUUGAGAGAAGUUUGAAAGUAAGUUGGAAAUCUUGAGCUAAACCAAUAUUUUUGCAAAUUUAUUUGCUUAACGUAGUUAAUUAAUACAUGUUGUCAUCAUUAUUUUAUAGAGGUUUGAUAGAAGUCAUGGAUGAUCAUUCAUGGAUGUAUCGAGAUUCACCUUAAGAAUUGCGGAGGAUGGAUUAUUAUAAUAGGGUUCAGAGUUUUAUUAAUUUCGCAACAUCUAUUUCGAGAAAUUUUAGUGGAGACGGUAUUAAGUGUCCAUACAGGAGGUGUAAAAAUAAAAAGUUUUUGCAUCCAGAUGUUGUAACGAUGUAUCUUCUACACAAAGGGUUCAUGGAGGAUUACUUGUGUUGGUAUGCACACAAAGAAUUAUUUGUUCGUAACAAGAGCAUGGUAGAAAGGAUGGUUGGGUCAACUUCUAGUGCUAGCAAUGUGCAUGGAGUUGUAAAUGACAAUAGUAAUCCUUACAGGAAUAUGGUUAUGGAUUCAAUGAGAAUGAAUCAAGGUAAUGCUAGUCAAUGUCCAAUUGUAGAAGAAGAACCUAAUGCAGACGCGGCCAUGUUUUUUGAUUUGUUGAAAGAUUCUGAUGAACCAUUAUGGGAUGGCUGCACAAAUCACUGUAAAUAAUCGGUCGUUGCACAUGUGUUCACUAUCAAGUUGGAUUAUGGGUUGAGUGAGGCCGGUUAUGACAAAAUUAUCGAAUGGGCAAGAAGCAUUCUACUUGAAGGGAACAAGCUGAAAGAGAACUUCUAUGCUACUAAGUCCAUGAUGAAACCCCUCGGUUUAGGAUACUAGAAAAUUGACAUGUGUCCAAACUUUUGCAUGAUGUACUACCUUGAAAAUGCUGAGCUAACCGAGUGCAUGGCAUGAGAGCAUUCCCGUUACAAACCCAGAACUGGCAUGAGAAAGACUCUUAUGGCAUAUAAAAAACUUAGAUACUUCCCAAUCACGCCUAGACUGUAGAGGUUAUUCAUGUCACCAAAGACUACUGAGCACAUGAUAUAGCACCAAUCACUUGAUGCAGUGGAUGGAGUGAUGGUGCAUCCUUCUGACGGUGAAGCAUGGAAACACUGUAACAGUGUGCAUUCUCAUUUUUCAGCUGAAUCAAGGAACGUGCAUCUUGGGUUAUGUACAGAUGAAUUCAACCCAUUCAGGUCAUUUGUUGAUCCUUAUUCUUGUUGGCCGAUUAUACUCACGGUUUACAACUUACCACUCUUAUGGCAACAGUUGCUCCUUCUUCACAAUACUUAUGGAACAAAGACUUGUUAAGUGCUUGACUAACGGACUGUUUUUCUCAAAGCUUUUAGUUUGGUUGACCUGAAACUUUGUUUUCGUAGCAAUCCCCAUCAACGGAAACUACGAUCAAAUUGUGUACAAUUUGGUUAUCUUGAAAUCGCAAUCUAGUGAUUUGCUUAAUCCAAAACCAAAAUCAAUGCCAAAGUUCGGUCAACCUGAGAUCCCAAUUUGGCGAUCCGCUUUAACUAGAACUAAAAUAUGAAAAGUAGCUCGGUAACCUGAAAUCCCAAUCCUGCGAUUCACUUUAACCAGAACCUUGGUCUUUGUCGUUAAGUUGGUCAAUCUAAAAUCCCAAUACGACGAUUCUCUUUAAUAAGAACCAAAAUGUCGCCUUUAGCUUAGUUAAUCUAAAAUCUCAAUCUAGAGACCCCCUUUAACCAAAACCUUGGUCUUUAUCCUUAGCUCGGUCAACCUGAGAUCCCAAUCUAGUGAUUUCCUUUAACCAAAACCAAAAUGUCACCUUAAGCUUGGUUAACCUGAAAUCUCAAUCUACAGAUCCCCUUUAAUCAGAACCUUGAUCUUUGUCUUUAGCUCAGUCAACUUGAGAUCCUAAUCUAGCUAUUCCCUUUAAUUAGAACAAAAAUGUCACCUUCAGCAUGGUUAACCUGAAAUCUCAAUCUAGAGACCCCCUUUAACCAGAACCUUGGUCUUUGUCUUCAGUUCGGCAAACCUAAAAUCCCAAUCUGAUGAUUCGUUUUAACCAGAACCAAAAUGUUGCCUUAAGCUUGGUUAACCUAAAAUCUUAAUAUAGAGACCCCCUUUAACUAAAACCCUGGUCUUUGUCUUUAGCUCAUUCAACCUGAGAUCCCAAUCCGACAAUCCUAUUUAACUAGAACCAAAAUGUUUCUUUCAGUUUGGUUAACCUGAAAUCUCAAUCGAGUGACUCCCUUUAAUCAAGCGAUUCCCUUUAACUAAAACCAAAAUGUUGCCUUCAACUCGGUUAACCUAAAAUCUCAAUUUAGAGACCCCUCUUUAACUAGAACCUUAGUCUUUUUUUUUUAGCUCGGUCAACUUGAGAUCCCAAUCUUAUGAUCCCAUUUAACAAGAACCAAAAUAUUGCCUUCAACUCGGUUAACCUAAAAUCUCAAUUUAGGGAACUCUCUUUAACUAGAACCUUAGUCUUUUUCUUUAGCUCGGUCAACUUGAGAUUCCAAUCCUACGAAUCUUGAAACAUCAUCCCCUUCUUAGUCCUACUUUGAUUUGCCAAAAAAAUGGAAAAGAAUGAAUGAUAUGGUGGAGAACUAGACCGGUCUUUACCAUUGGCUAGAACCAACCAUAGGCUGCUUAGAAAGCAACCUUCAACACCUAAAAACAAACCACCACAUAACAACCCUGCAAUUAUCAACAACAACAUCUAGUUCUAGCUACCUAGUCUAUGUCAAAGAAUAGAAUCUGAGGCAACUUUUUGACCAAAAUUCCAUUCUCUAUUAUUCCUUCAAUAUUGGGGUUUAAUGCAAGCAACUUGUUUAUUCGGAUUUGAGAUGUAAAUAGAUUUUAAUUUUGUUAGGAUGAGGUGGUCAGGUUGCGUCACAUUGAUUAUGUCAUGAAGUUAACUAGAGUAAGAAAUAAAGAUAUCAAGUUUCGGAGAGAAUCAAGAUCAGUUAAAGCAAAAAAAAAAAAAAACAGAUUAUGAAAAUAAAUUGGAAACGAAAAGUUUAGUUAUAAGGAAUUAGAUUCACAAACAAAUUUAAGUCUCAUCAAUUCUAGGAAACAAGUUGGAAGGAAUCAAUUUUACAAAAAUUGACCUUCGCACUAGAGAGAACCUUCGAGCCACUUCAAAUGUACUGAAGGCCAUUUGUUUGCCAUAUGUGCUAAUUAAGAACAUAAUUCUAUUCUUUUGUGAGUUAAUAUUCUGUAAAAUAAGCUUGGAAUAGCUUGCGGGGGCUUGGCUCAGAGAUCAUUGAGUUUUUACUACAAAUUGCCUUUUAAUUUUUUUCCACCUGUAAUUGGAUUCGAUAAGUUUCCCUUUUGUUUACAUAUGAAGAACAAACAUUGCUUGAGGUUAUCCAAUGCCGAGAUCAAGGUCAGAUAAUACUAGCGAACCCCUAAUCAGGAUUAAGAAGCAAAAAAAAUGUUAAGUGCAGCUUAUCCAAUGCCGAGACCAAGGUCAGAUAAUAUCCUGAUUGUGCUUAUUGCCAUUAAUUAGAAACUGCAAUAUCGUCACAUAAUUAAACUGAGAUUAUUCUGAUUAGAGAACAGAAGGAAUCUUCUUUCAUAAUUGGCUUUUGCGAAGGUUUAGUGUUUUUGCUGCUACUGCUUUUGGACCUGACUUGAUUCCUGAUCGGUCGAAAAAGCAUUAGUCCAAAAGCAGGGAAGCUUUUGUUUUCUUUAAUCACAUGAUCAGAUAUUAUAAUUUAUGCCCAACACAAAUUCAUAAAAGUGGCUCUAAGAUUGGCUGACAACAGUUGUUAAUGAGCAGUGUUUGCAUCCCUUAUUUUUCAGUUUACUAAGUAUUUAGAACAUUCAAUUCCAAUCCAAAGUCGAUAAUAAUAAACUCUUGGUAAUGGUUUUGUCAUCGAUGGUGAUCGGACGACAAAAAAACCAGUAAAAUUGUUUUAUAUAAAAAGUUUAUUAAGUAUUGAAAACAUCCAAAUCUAACAUGUUUUACUUUUUUGUGUUUAAAUAUGAUAUUAAUAAACUUUUGGUGAUAUUUUUUUUUUCAUUUUGUGAUGCUUUUAUCGUCAGUAGUGAUAAGAUGAAGAAAAGCUAUUGAUUUUUCUCUCAGCAAUGGUUUGUUUUAUCGUACACAAAUGUUGGGUGCUUUUAUUUACAAAAAGGAGUACUGUCUACCAUUAUUCAUUCCACAGCUGUUGUCAACCAAACCUUUCCUUUCUAUAUAAAGGUGGCUUGGCCUCCUACAUAUUAGCCAAAGCAAGAAAACCAACAAAACCUAUAAACAGCUACUUGUCUUUGUGUGUUGAUUAAUUGUAGUUAACAUGGCACGUCAGGCAGAUCGUCUUGUUAAGAUUGGGCAGGAGGGUUUUGCAACCAUUGAUGAGCACUUCGGCCGGGCCAAGAGGCGGCCACCAGUUAUGAAGGUUCCCUAUGCUCAUCCCACAUAUUACGAUGUUCCUGCAACAGAAGUUAUCAACAGCAACGAGGCAGCUCAACGCUACAAGGGGAGGGUUUAUGUCGAUUACCCUAAGGGUAAACCAGUUCCGUUUUAAAGACCUAUUGAUUAAUCACUUAGCUUUCUUGUAUGCAUAACCUCCUCCAGUUGUGUUACCUUUAGUCCUGUACGAUAUUCUCCCUCUGCUAAACGUAGACGAGGAGAGGUUGCUAGAACUCGAGUCAGGAGCUUCUUCUUACUUCUUCAAAUAAACUUUCUGUGAUUUAUAUAUCAUUUUCUAUUUGUAUGUAUUGUCAUAAUUAUCUUUCUUACUUCCUCAUUAUCACCUCUUACUUAGCAUGGAAUUGAAAGAUACAAUAUGCUCUUGAAAUGCUUUGAAGCUCUUCAAGGUGUGAUUUCACCGACUAAGUUUGGAACUGUACAGAGCUCAAUGAUGAGCCGUGGGAGGCGUCUCUGAUUGUUGCACUGUAAGCAUGAGUGUACGUAUGAAUAUAACCAGCAGAUCCGCAAACCACAAGUGAUGACAAGCUUCUUAACACUGCUGCAUUUAACAGUUUUACCAACAAAAUGUUUUGUCGGUAUUUACUCUACCAUUCCGUCAGCAUGAAUUUUAUCGACUGAUUUACGGACGGAAACAGUCCAUUGGUAAAUUCCUCUUGUCAGUAAUUUCAUUAAUGUCGGUACAAAAAAACCCGAUGGUUUUACAAAUAGAAAAUGCAAGCCAAUUUUUUUUCCACUGGAAUAUACAGACGGAAUUAUUUCUUCGGUGAUUGACAGUGGCAUAUGGAGUAAUUUUAUUCCAAACCCUCUAUAAAAUACCGAAGGAAUUAUUCCAUCGGUGAUGUAACAGUUGAAAUGGCAUAUGCAGUAAUUAUUUUUCAACUCUCUGGAAUAUAACGACCAACAAAGUUUGUCGGUAACUUCGUCCGUAAUAAUUAAAAAAUAUAUAUAUUUUUAAAAAUUAUUUAUUGAACAAAAAAAGAAAAUAAUAAAAAAUAUAAAAUUGUAUAAAAUUCAAGUAUGUAAAAAUAAAUUACCUUAGUAUAAAAGCCAAAUAUUCAUUACAAAUUUAUAUGUUCAAAUAAAAUUAAACUAGAAAAAUGGCGGCGUUGGAGGAGGCUGAUCGUUCCCGGGACCAUAUGGCCAAAAAGAGUGUCGCACGUGACCCGCGCGGCGUCCGAUGGUGAUUUUUUCGUUAUGCGUUUGCUUGAUUGGUUCGUUGGGAGUCGCCACCUAGUAUUUAAUUGAGGGCAACUAGGAAACCCGGGUGUACUGGUCUUGUCAGAGAUUCACGGGUAAGGGACUGGUUGUGGUUAGGGAAGGUAUUUGCACCCCUAACGCACCCUACCUGAGGUAAGCUGCUUCGUGGCUUUGAUGUGAUAAAGAAGUUUUAAAAAUUUUGUUCUUUCAUCGGGUAUUAGAAAUACGACUUACAUGUAAGUUCAUAAUUCUUGACCGUGAUCAAAUCAAAAUAUUAAAUUCUUCUUUAUUCUUUGCAAUUUUAUCAUAAAAAAAUACAUUUAUAAAAAAAAAACUACAAACAAACACAUUCACUUUCACUAUAUUUUUUCUUUUUUUUCUUUUUCACAUCUAUAUUACAAAAAUUCAAAACUAAACAAAAAUUACAUUAAAUAAUUUGAAAUUACAAAAAUAGCCCAAAAACAAGUCCAUAACAGUGCUAGGAAGCUUUCUGGAACUGCAUGCAGUGCUGAAGAAGGUUCCUGAACAGUUGAACAGUGCGCAACCGCCACUAGCGUCGCGUGGGCUCACGCGCCGCCGCGAGAAAUUCCAGGCAGUAGGGGGCGCUGCUGUGGCUUCCUCCCCUCUUCACUUCCCUACCGGCGGUUAGGGUCUUCAUCAACUGCAAAAGAAUAAAACACCCAAACCAGUUGAUUUUAAUUUUUCUUUCUUUUUCAGAUUUAUUUCGGUCUUCUCCUUUUCAUAUCUGCUUCACCGCAGAUCUUUCUUUGGUUUACAUCUUCUUCUCCUUCGCUUCAGGUGGCCGGCAGUUGGGUGGCGACGACACUGGAUUCAGGUUGUUGCUUUGGCCGCUGCAAUUGGUGGCUGAAGGAAAUGGCGUGGAUCUGUGGGCUGCCGUGUGCUGGCUGUUGUGGCUGACGGUGUGGAUAAAACGUGGAUUUGUGGUCUCUGUCUUUAGCUCGGUCAACUUGAGAUCCCAAUCUGGCCAUUCCCCUUAACUAGACCAAAAUGUCACCUUCAACUUGGUUAACCUGAAAUCUCAAUCAAAAGACCCCUUUUAACCACAACCUUAGUCUUUUUCUUUAGCUCAACCAACCUAAAAUCCCAAUGUGGCGAUUCCCUUUAACUAGAAUCAAAAUAUCAUCUUCAACUUGGUUAACCUGGAAUCUUAAUUAAUCUAGAAACCCCCUAGGCUUCCUAGGCUUAGACUUGUGUGGACUUAGUGCACUAGAUUCUUUUUUGUUUAAGUUUUGUUGGUUGAAAAAAUACUUCCUAAAAUUAUUAUUAUUGUUAUUGUUUUUGUUAUUAUUAUUAUUAUUAUUAUUCAUACACAGUUAUAUUUAUGAUUAUUAUAUGGUCAAUUUGUCUAUGUCAAAGAAUAGAAUCUGAGGCAACUUUUUGACCAAAAUUCCACUCUCUAUUAAACCAAAAUGUUUAAUGCAAGCAACUUGGUUACUCGGAUUUGAGAUGUAAAUAGAUUUUUUGUUGGGAUGAGGUGGUCAGGUUGCGUCACAUUGAUUAUGUCAUGAAGUUAACUAGAGUAAGAAAUAAAGAUAUAAAGUUUCGGAGAGAAUCAAGAUCAGUUAAAGGAAAAAAAAAAGAUUAUGAAAAUAAAUUGGAAAGGAAAAGUUUAGUUAUAAGGAAUCAGAUUCACAAAGAAAUUUAAGUCUCAUCGAUUCUAGGAAACAAGUUGGAAGGAAUCAAUUUUACAAUAAUUGAACUUGGCACUAGAGAGAACCUCUGUGCCACUAAGUACUGAAUCGUUAUUGAAAUGUACUGAAGGCCAUUUGUUUGCCAUUUGUGCUCAUUAAGACCAUAAUUCUAUUCUUUUAUAGUUUUUUGGAAGAAAUAAAAAACUAGGGUGAGUUAAUAUUCUGUAAAAUAAGCUUGGAAUACCGUGCGGGGGCUUGGCUCAGAGAUCAUUGAGUUUUUCCUACAAAUUGCCUUUUAAUUUGUUUCACCUGUAAUUGGACUGGGAUUCGGUAAUUCUGUUAAGGACUUUCAUUUGGUUUAAGUUUCCCUUUUGUUUACAUAUGAGGUUCCGAGACAACAGUUGCUUGCUGUUCUUGAACAAACAUUGCUUGGAGGUUAUCCAAUGCCGAGAUCAAGGUCAGAUAAUACUAGCGUACGAUUGUGCUUAUUGCCAUUAAUUAGAAACUGCAAUAUCGUAACAUAAUUAAAAUGAGAUUAUUCUGAUUAGAGAGCAGAAGGAAUCUUCUUUCAUAAUUGGCUUUUGCGAAGAUUUAGUGUUUUUGCUGCUCCUACUUUUGGACCUGACUUGAUUCCUGACCGGUAGAAACAGCAUUAGUCCAAAAGAAGGGAAGCUUUUGUUUUCUUUAAUCACAUGAUCACAUGCCCAGCACAAAUUCAUAAAAGUGGCUCUAAUGAUUGGCUGACAACAGUUGUUCAUAAGCAAUGUUUGCGUUCCUUAUUUUUCAAUUUACAAAGUAUUUAGAACAUUCAAUACUUUUUUGUAUGCAUAACCUCCUCCAGUUGUGUUACCUUUAGUCCUGUACGAUAUUCUCCCUCUGCUAAACGUAGACGAGGAGAGGUUGCUAGAACUCGAGUCAGGAGCUUUUUCUUACUUCAAAUAAAAUUUCUGUGAUUUAUAUAUCAUAAUUUUCUAUUUGGCUGGUCAAGCAUGCAUUGUCAUAAAUAUCUCUCUGCUUCCCUGAUUAUCACUUUAUUCAC